UUUAGGAAUGUGUGGGUCUAGUUAGUUGUAAUCUUAUAAUGGAGGGGGUUUCAAGCUGACCCCUCAGAGGUGAACUCCAUUGUUCUCACUUCAUUAGCCUCAGAGGUGACAUUUCCCAAGUUAUCUACUCCCCAAGCCAAAUGAGUGAUUCCUGAAGACCACACAGAGGCAUUGUGAGGAGCAAUUGGUGAUCCGUGUUUGCAAAGGAUUUUCCCAUCUUUGAAGGGCAGCAAAAUGAGGAAACAGGAAGAAAAGAAAGAGGCCAAACAGAAACAAGAAGACAUUCUGCUAUGAGUCAGUCCCCAGGGCCUCGGGUGCUUCAUAGCCAUACUUAUGUGGAAAGAAAAUAAGGAGGCCAAGGGGAAUAAAAUAAGACAGGAAAGAAUGGGUUUCUGGAUAGGAAUCAAUCAAAAAUGACUAACAGGAUAUAAGAUAAACUUUGCAUGGUACCUUUACAAAUUGACCUGCUAGGGCAUAACUAACUCAUGAACAGAUGCAGA